GCCCAAUCGAUACAAGCCGCUUUAUCACGUUUAAACCGACAAUUCAACCCCUACAACUACCAAAAAUAAAGGGCUCUUAUACGACAAACAUCCAGGAAAUAUUUCCUGAUCAUAGACUCUUGUGCUGAGACUUUUUAAUAUUAUGUGAGCAUAAGAAGUGCGUCGCAAAGCAGUUUUAGGAGGGACUGGAGAGUAACUCCGCAAAAUUAUUAGGCCUCGCGAGAGCUAAUAGUCGCGCCUCGCGACUUCAUGAUCAUACAGAACUUGCAUGAUCUGGGUCGAGGUUAAGAUGGCUGCAGCUCCCGCAACGGCUUCCUGCCUCAACACCGAACAUGGCUGCGUCAUGUUUGACUGUCUUGCCCAUCUAUGGGACUGGCUUGACCCGCCAAUACCGCAGUCCCAAUUCCAAAUGGAGAACAAGAAGACAACGCCGGCGACUCAACAGCCACUCACUCAACAACACCUGAUGGCUCAUCAUGUCCAUCCCGAUCAGAUAUACUCGCAGCAGCCCACCAUCCCAUCACAUCAUGUGCCCACACAAGCCGGGCAGGUGCAGCCUAACGGCGUAAUGCAUCAGCUGCUGCAGAACCAAUACCACUCCAACAUGAAUCCUCGCUCGCCGCUCCUCGAAAACAGGCACGAACUGUACGGAACUGCACAUAAUCACGACUACGCCCGACACUACGGCGCUAACGAUAAUUAUAAUUACCCACAAUCACCACCGAGACUGGAAAGGUCAGACUUGAACAUGGAUCACAACGUCAAUCACGAACUUCACAAUGUGCCUAAAGGAUAUAACGCUGAAGUUUAUCAGGACUACAUGAAACGCAACCCACCGAAAGAUACCAAUCAAAUAUACCAAAAUCAUCAAACUAUGUAUAGGCCUAACAUGAAUCAAUAUGGCUCCAAGCCGUACCUUCCAUUUUCGAACAGACUGGGACCUCAGAGUAACACUGAACUCUUGAGGCGACAGUAUAACGAAAUUCAACAAAUGAAAUUACAACAACAAAUGCACUACCAAAAUCAGGCUCAAAUGCACCAGCAACAAAAGUUCGCUGAAAGACAAUUGUUACUUCAACAAAUUCACGGAAUCCAGCCGCCCCCCAACCUGCAGAAUAGCAUUUACUCUGAUGGUUCCUACAGGGACUUAGAUCGUUAUAGCAGCAAAAAUGAUUUUAAAGAAUACAGCAGUCCGGAUAUACAGAAAGAUGUCGAUAGGUACGCUAAAAAUAAUGAAUACAAAGAAAUUGAAAAGCAAACUAGGCAGUACCAGGACUCUCAAUGGCAAUCAAAUCGGACUGAAUCGGCGGAUUUGUACAGGAAGCAGCCCGAGGGAGACUCGUGCAAGAGUGCAUCUCCACCUUCAGAUUACAAUAAUCAAAGCCAGAAGAACAACGUGGUUGUGGUGUCACCUAUGAAAUCUGACUCAAGCUCCCCUAGUGUAAAGUCUCCUUCAUCCGACAGUCGCCGGAGCAGCGGCGGAAAUCAGGCAUUGCGCUCACCGGUAGCUCAGCGUAUUCCAUCAGCACCUGUCACCAUGUCAGGCAUAUUGUACAAGCAAGGAUCCGAUGGAUUGAAAGUUUGGAGGAAGAGAUGGUUCGUUCUGUCCGAGUACUGCUUAUUUUACUACAAGGGUCAAGAAGAAGAAAAAUUGCUGGGAUCGGUACUUCUACCAUCUUACAAAGUAUCAGCUUGCACAUCUGAAGACAAAGUAUUGCGGAAGUUUGCGUUCAAAUUGGAACACGCAAAUAUGCGGACGUACGUGUUGGCGGCUCCGGACCAGGAGGCUAUGUUGAAGUGGGUGAAGGCUCUGACCAUGGCCGCUCUGAUGCAAAGCCCGAUUGAGCAGCCACAAAAGCAGAGCGAGCGGGCAGCUGCAAAAACAGAGGAUGAAGACGAAAUACCUGGCCCGACUUAUGCAAACGCACCACCUAAGCCGAGGCGUUCUAAUGAAGGAUACAAUUCACCCAGUCCUGAUAUGUAUGAUCCAAACUACGAUUUACUCAAAAAGCCAGCAUCACACUACAGUCAAGGCACUAGUCAUACUCGUUACCAGGAGCAUACUAACUACACUACCAGCCCCACUCAAGAGAGCACAUAUAGUCGCAGCCCGCAUUCGCCUCUCCCGCCGCACCAGUCGCCUGCUCCCGCGGCUAUGUACCAGUCCAAACGCCCUUAUGACACGCACCACCUGUCUCUGCCACUAACCAACACCGUUACUGACAGACUUGAGAACAUCCAACCGAGCACAUCGUCCAUUUAUAGGUCUAAUCCUCAGUCGCCUUACUUUGACAAUAGGAACAGAAGUCAGCAACAACCGCAACUACAGCCUGAAAAUAAACAGGAGCAAAUAUAUGAAAGGCAUUCGCAGUCCCGGAAUCCAUUUCUUCAGGACGUAUCGCCACAAACCGAGACGACUCCGAAAGAUGCCGAUUUACAGAACAAUUCUCAGACAACAGUGGAGCACGACAGGAAGUCGCUUUAUGAUUCUUAUUCUGAUUCACGUCAAAAUGCAAAAUCAAACAUUGAACAAAACGCUUAUAAUAGGGAUGUCUACGGGGAACUGAAUUUGAGACCUGCCAACAGAAUUGGGAAUACAAUCAACGAGCGCCUGCUUAUAGAGAGGCGAACACCGGAUGCGUAUGGUAGAUCUGUGACGAUGGGUCUAUACAAUACUCAGAAAGUUGGAGAUUACGAGGAUGUGUAUGCCUCUUACGCUGCUGAGAACGAAUAUGGCAAAACACAUGGAAAAUUAUUACCUAAAACACCGCAAUCUCGGGACGGUAGCGUUAACCACCAGCAGUUGCAAGAUUAUGCCGCGAACUAUCCUCAAGAAAAAACAUUCAGUGGGCCAUCAGUAUUGAGAAGGAAAAAGAUGCAGUCUAGCGGAAUUCAAUCUCCAAUGCCUAGACCCCACAGUGCAGACUUCUUGGAACAUGAAUCAAGGAAUGAGAUGCUUAACAACACGAUGCCCUCUCGUAACGUGUGUGAUCCGCCUAGACAGCCGCAGCGUCCUAAAUCCAGUCUCGAUAUUAACUCAUACUACGAUCCUAGUUCCGACAGAUAUUAUUCCGAAGAAAGUUAUGCGGAAAAAAUGCGACAAUCUGCACAGUAUUUACAACAGCAAGGUUUGGGUCCUCGCAAUAUUCAGAUACCAUUAGCUAAGUAUGCGAGCGGCUUAGCUGAAAAGCAGUUGAAUUCACCUUACUCUCAAAUUACCAACAAUAAUUACGAGACAGAAUUCGGGGUGAAUAAAACUAGCCGACACGACGUCAGUUACAAUUCGAAGUACAGUGAUCUUGAAGGGUUGAACUCAAACUGGACGCUUAAGGAGAAAGGUAGGGAGAGCCAAAAGGAUUAUUUGAAAAGGAGUGGAAGUGUAAUGAGUGACGGAUCUACCUUUAGUGGCGUUACGAAGGAAAUAAGUCGAUGCGACGCGAACGAAUUUAUGAGAUCAGCUAGUGCGAGAUUGCCAUCAUCUGCCACAGAAGGCCAAGGAGAGAAGAAAGUACAACAGCGUGAGGAAUCGAUGAAAAGGUUGUUAGAGUGGAAGCAAAGAAUGUUACAAUCACCGCUUACUCGCAAAAGUACACCGGCCGCGAUUUCACUGGCUCGAUCUUUGAACCAGAACCGGCAAUCUUUGAGAUCUGAUCAGUACAAACACAAGACGUACACUAAUGCUUCCUACAACAGUUACUCUUCUGACGACGAAGCGUCGAUGAGUGUAUCAACAAACGUAGAAUUAAGUACAAAUAACCUAUCGAACCAACAACCAUUGUCAAAGAAAUCUUUCCUAGGAAGUAACACUUCUAUCGGGAGAAACAACAGAGAUGCGAAUAUACCAGUUCGCGCUGUGAGUCCUCGAGUACGAUGGACCGAAGAUAAGCAUAUCGGUGAACACAAUAUAUCACAACAACUCUCUACUUCUCAGCAAAAUUUGAUUGGGCCUGAGGAUUCAUGGAUGACUGCAAGGUCUCCAUCAAGGACUCAACAGCCUAUCAGAGCUGUGAGCCCGAGAGUCCGACGGAACACGGAACCUGACGAUUUGCCGAGGGAUCAGCAUGGUCAGGGUGAAUUGACCGAGGUGCCGACAGCCGGAGAACUUUUGGGUCGGACCCAUGAAGAACUGGUGCUCCUCUUGAUUCAAUUGAGGAGACGGCAUGCGGCUACCCAUCGUGCCAUCGAACAGUGCUGCUUACAAAUCACUAGCAUAGAGGAGUGCUUGAGUUCUCUAAAGGCUAUGGAACGCGAAGAAAGUCUGCAAAGGCUUGAGCAGUUGAAGGGGCAGCUGAUGGAUCUGGAACAACAGUACGAGAAGAGUAAGCCGCUAGUUCAGCUGGUGGAUAACAUGGUGAAGCUGGGCUCGUUGUACAACAGACCUGGUAACACCGUCGAGCGUCUAGAAAGGAACCAGCGGCUCAGGCAAAAAGUACUCGCCGAACAUGCUUUUGAACAACAAAGAUGGUUAGAAAGCGCAGCAGCUGGCAGACCAUUGGAGACAGAAGCUGCCAGGGCGCGUGUAGCGGAACUCUGGGCUUUGGAGCAAGAAUUGGCAGAUGAAGCGGCUAUAUUACAAGGCCUGAGAACUGAUAAGGACGCAAUUGAAUCACUGCUUACUGGCGUUCGUGGCAAACUGGAUACAGUAAACCGCGGUGACUACGUUGGUAUGGGAGCUCCGCCUCCCAUGCCCGCCCCUGCAGGGCUCGAAGCCGAACUUGCGCGAGUGCACGCCAUGUUGGCGCACAAUUCUAAGGUUUAUAAGAAACUGGAGCAGACUGUUGCGGACAACGCGCGACUGGAACGUGAACUGCAACAGUUGCGUCGAGCCCUGCAGGCUCGUCGUGCUGCGCCGCAGAUGUCGCACGCCGCGCAACCUACCGCCCUCUUAGAGGAUGAAGUGACAAGAGUCCAGCAGCUGGUAACAACGCUGCAGCUGCAACGGCAAGAGUUGAGUCGUGCCGUGCGACAUCUCACACACCAAUCGCACACAUUGCAGAGCACCCACGACUCUCAGUCAGGUAAACGUCGGCUAACGUCAUCGUGGCAAGAAACUAACCUCGACACAGGUCUGACCAUCGACCACGGCGAAUCUCACUACGAGUAUGAGCUGGCAAGUCAAGUGUUGCCACCCGGACACUACCAGUCCGUCGAGCCACUUUACGUCGAUACGAGGGCCGGCAGCAAUGACGUUACUUCGCCACUUAACAGCGAGGACAUGCAGCAUAGUGCUUUUGGAAAUCUAUCUAAUGUCGAGAAGCAAGAAAUAAAGACAGUCCGCAUUGUCAAGCGCGAAAGCGAACGACGACAGAGAGACAGAGAACGUUCUCUCCAGCCAAUGUCAGAUUGGCCUUCCAAUAACCUUUCCUUGCAACCGAUGUCUGAUUGGUCGUCGAACAAUACUACCACUAACCUUGACCAAUUUCUUGAAGAGGAGCUUGGACAAUCGUCUAAUUAUGCACGGUCUUCGUCACUACCCCGAACAGAUUUCAGCGAGUUCAAAGAAUAUUACUCCAGGCCAUCUGACCGCGACCCACCAAAUUACCUUCGUCUGGACAAAAACUUAGAACUCAGCCCCAAAUUUCCGUCAAGCCCAUCCCUGUCGAAUUACGACUAUUCCCGUGACCUAUCCACUAUGAGCAGCAGCUACCAUAAGAGCUACGACAACUCAGAUCUUAGAUCUGGUUACGAUCGCACCAUUUCUUUGUCUAAUCAGUACUUGAGCAGUCCUAGCGACAGUGCUAAGACACUGACUAAUGAUCCAAUAUCAAAGACAAGUAGCGUGAUGAGCUUGACGCGCUGCCCCAUGGAACUGUCGCCGAUCUUUAAGAGUGAGGCUGCUAAGCAGAUUAUUACGGAGAUGUCUGAGCCGAAGAACGGGUCGUUGCAUCGCCGACAAGUGCCCAAGGAGAAAAGGCGGCACUAUACCGCUCCGCACCAUCUCAGCGCUAAGACGCUCAGCGAAAUGCCUAAAGAUGUUUACAAUCAUGACAAGAUGGGCCGUUCGCUUGAUGAUGCGGACAUGGAGCGCGCGCUGCGGGCUGCGCCUGCGCCGGACGUGGUUCGCUCGGCGUUACCAACCACGCGCUACGCGGACUCCAUUGACCAGCUGCUAGCUGCACCACAGAAAAUUCUUAUUCCCGAGCGGUACAUCCCGGAGAAGCCUCCAGAAUUGUCACCCGAAGAGCAACAGAAGCGCCAGGAGAAGGUGGAAUCCAUCAAGAAGAUGCUCUCAAGCUCGUCAGCGGACCCUAGCAAGAGCCCGGACGGCGAAGAGAAGCGGCACCGAGAACACUUGCUCCAGAUGAACCAGAUCCUCGCCAAACAGGUCACCGAGAUGAGCAAAAUCAUCGCUGGAACCAACAUUGACCAAGGCCCGUCUACCGCAAACAACUGACCCGCCCUUCACUUACAACCGUUCUCCUCACUUGCACUCACUUCCUUAAGCUAGUCGAGCUCUAACAUACUACUAGAAACGUCCAUUAGUUGAGAAAAAUCCGUUUUUAAUGGCGCUAGUUUCAAACUAGUUUCCCUCCGAAUAUUGCCUGUUCCCAAUAGGGAAACUUGCAAAUGAUUACAUAAUAAGAAAGUCCCUUUCCUUUAAUACGUCUUGUAAGUAAAUUGGCCAAGGCGGUCCGAAGGGCCCACCGAGUGUAUUGCAGCAUGGUUUCGUUUUGUGCAUUUUGUUUUAAAGCCUUAGAAGAGCUGCCUGUGCAAGGCGGGCGUACUGACUUGGAUGACCGCUCCCCAGACGUAGAGUUGCCUAUUUAUCAGCAAAGGGAGAACUAUUAUUCCUAGAAGUAUAUUUCUCUAAUGAGAAGCGUUCAAUAUUCAGGGAACAGUGCGUGUUACAUCCACCAAGGAACCUGUAAUACAGAUAUGCCUCACUAUUUCCGGUGGUUAGUUGGAGACUAUGGACAUAAAUAAAGCAGAAUAUACAUAUAUUGUGAACAACGGUGAACAUACAGGUUGUUAUGAAUAUGUCUAUAAUACUGAACAGCUUUAAGUCAGAAAUUAAUUUUAUUCUAGGAUUACUGUUUUGCCUUUCCAUUCAAAUCUGUCGUUGCUGUGACAUAACAUGAAGGGAAGUUAAAAUACGCAAUACAUAAUAUUUUUGAUUCUGGCGAAAGUGCCAUGGGCGCUUUGAUAUGGACUUACUAUUUGACCUUUUUGUAACAUCCUGUAUGACGUGUACUCCAUGGCUAAUAACGUAUAUAUGACGUUCGUACCUUCUAAAGUAUUAUGUUUCUUUGACAAUGUUUACGGGAUCGUUAAGAUCAUUUUCAUAAUUCAGUCAAGGCCAGUUCAGAAUCUCUGAUUUAUUCUCGUCUAUUAAUUUAUUUAAGGUUAACUCAUUUAAAAUUAGACAUCAUUAGUAAAUAUUAUAACAGGAACAUGUUUCUGACUUGGUUCAAUUUCGAUUCUGAAGAGUAGCUGUAACUAAAUACUAAGCAAAAAAUAUAUAAUCAAAUUUCCUGGCUUUAAAACUAACGGUAAGCGUAGAAUGUUCAAUUAAUAGGACUAAUAUUCGAAUUUUUCGACUCUAACACUUCUAUAGGCAAAUCUAUUAUGCCCACAAUUAUACUUGUUAUAUAUCUACUUAUAUACAUUUGAAACUGUUGUAGUGGUUAGACUAACUUAUGAUAUGGACUUGUUAUAGUAGAGUUUGUAAUCCGCGCGAAUUGUAGUUUUGAAUCUAAAUGUUUAUGUUGAUUUUCUGUGUAAUGUAAAGUCAAUUAAUUACAUCACUUUUUACCGCCUCUGUAUAAUAAAGUACAAUUAAGUUUUUUUUGCUAAUAUCGGUGUUUACAAUGCGCUGUUCGCUUUCACAUAUCUUAUGUAUCAUAUCUUUAACAUAAUAUGUUUGUACAUAUUAUGUACUAUUUAUGUAUUUAAGAUUUACGAUAUAGAUUUUUGAAUUCUUUUAACGUUUGCUCAAUUUUUGCAACAUUCCCGCAAUAGUCGUAUAGUUAACUGUAGAAGUCGCUGACCACCUAGAGAUGUUCAUAUCAACUUUCCUUAAAUAAUACUGAUAUUAUUAAAAUAUUACGUAUUUUUGACCUGGCUGUAACUGUAAAUGGUACGCAAUAGAGCAGGUUUCUUUGAUCGGGUUUUCCUUCAAUACUGUCGUUAAAUAACAUUAAUUAAGGAGUAAUAUUUUAAUUCACAUAAUUUAUUUUCUAAAUUUUAGAACAAUUCACUGAAUUAUUACUACUAUAAAUAAAUAAAGAUUAUAAUCAAAUCUAUUUAUGUACUUCAAAUCACCACAUGUACACCAUCUGUAGUUAUUCAGUUACAUGUGCUGACUGUACAAGUAGCUAUCAUGUGUAGCUAUUUAAUUUGUACUUGUAAAGGUGGUCCCACAUCUAAGUUAUAUCUAAUUUCCAUUAUGCGUAUAAUUGUUUAUAAAGAACAUAUAAAUGACAAUUGUUUUCUCCCCAAACGAUCUGUAAAUUUCUUUAUCUACACACAUCAUAAACUCUAUAUAAUGUGUUCAAAAACCGCAAAUUAGGACCAGCAUAGAGGUAAACUGUUUUGUUAGAACAAAUUUCUUAUCUGUGAAAAUGUUAUUAUUGCUUCAU